UUGGCAAAGUUCAUCAUUGUGGCUGUGGGUUUAGCAUCACUCUUAAUAAUUGUUUUGGUGAUCAUCAGAUGGAAGAAAACUAAAGGGAAGAAAACACAGAUGGAUGAAAACAUUGCUGAUCCUGAAGAUGGUGUUUCCUACGUCUCCAUCAGCUUCACCAAGAAGACCAACAGUAAAGCCCGGGUUGGUGGCGAUGGUGAUGAUGAAGGUGAUGCAGUGACCUACAGCACUGUGAAAGCUUCCUCCUCUUCUGCUGGAGCCUCCACUGAUCCCAGUAACCUCUACGCUACCAUCAACUAACCCAACAAAUAACAGACCACAGU